GAUGAACGCUGGCGGCGUGCCUAAUACAUGCAAGUCGAGCGAACAGAUGAGGAGCUUGCUCCUCUGACGUUAGCGGCGGACGGGUGAGUAACACGUGGAUAACCUACCUAUAAGACUGGGAUAACUUCGGGAAACCGGAGCUAAUACCGGAUAAUAUAUUGAACCGCAUGGUUCAAUAGUGAAAGACGGUUUUGCUGUCACUUAUAGAUGGAUCCGCGCCGCAUUAGCUAGUUGGUAAGGUAACGGCUUACCAAGGCAACGAUGCGUAGCCGACCUGAGAGGGUGAUCGGCCACACUGGAACCGAGACACGGUCCAGACUCCUACGGGAGGCAGCAGUAGGGAAUCUUCCGCAAUGGGCGAAAGCCUGACGGAGCAACGCCGCGUGAGUGAUGAAGGUCUUCGGAUCGUAAAACUCUGUUAUUAGGGAAGAACAAAUGUGUAAGUAACUAUGCACGUCUUGACGGUACCUAAUCAGAAAGCCACGGCUAACUACGUG
rnacentral:rRNA from 1 species